rnacentral:rRNA from 1 species
UACGUAGGGUGCAAGCGUUAAUCGGAAUUAUUGGGCGUAAAGAGCUCGUAGGCGGUUUGUCGCGUCUGCUGUGAAAACUCGGGGCUUAACUCCGGGCCUGCAGUGGGUACGGGCAGACUAGAGUGCGGUAGGGGAGACUGGAAUUCCUGGUGUAGCGGUGGAAUGCGCAGAUAUCAGGAGGAACACCGGUGGCGAAGGCGGGUCUCUGGGCAGUAACUGACGCUGAGGAGCGAAAGCGUGGGGAGCGAACAGG